GCCUGCCAUUGAAAUGCAAAACUCUGUUCCAAAUAAAGCCUUUGAAUUGAAGAAUGAACAAACAUUGAGAGCAGAUCCGAUGUUCCCACCAGAAUCCAAACAAAAGGACGAUGAAGAAAAUUCUUGGGAUUCUGAGAGUCUCUAUGAGACUGUUUCACAGAAGGAUGUGUGUUUACCCAAGGCUACACAUCAAAAAGAAAUAGAUAAAAUAAAUGGGAAAUUAGAAGGUAAGAACCGUUUUUUAUUUAAAAAUCAUUUGACCGAAUAUUUCUCUAAACUGGUGAGGAAGGAUAUCCUCUAGUAGCUGAAGAAAAUUACCUCCUAAAUGCAAACCAUGGAAAAAAAGAGAAGUGCAAUGGUCGUAAGUUAUAUGUCUCAUCAGGUGUUGGCAACAGACUAUAUUGAGAGUGCUGAAAAGGAGCUGAAUUAUUAGUUUGAAUUCAAGAUAUUGCAAGACCUGAGGAAAAUGAGAAAAUAAGAAAGAAGAAUGUAGUAAUAGAGUAAAUGAAGACUGAGAAAGACAGAACGUACAGAGAGUACAUGAAGGAACAAGAAGCAGGUUUAUGUAAUGGAGGAUGAUAAAAUGAAAUGAUUGUUUAGGAAAAGAUCGGGUAUUGUUAGAAAUUUGAGAAGAAUAUAAAGUGACCUUCUAGUAUCAAAAUUUACCAGAGAAUUACAGCAAAAAUAUUCUGACUCUUAAUGUCUUUCUCACUGGUGGGAAGCCAUUAGGGAUGGAAGCACCUGACCAUGGAGAGCUGUGUUCUAUUUGCAAUAGGUGAGAAUAAGCAUAUCUGCACGGCCACACAUGUAUAUAAUUUGUCAUAUACACUCCAUAUAGACCAGAAGUUUUCAAACUUUAGAAAAUCAGCUGAAAACCUUGUUAACAAUUCACACUGACAUUCAGCCUACUUGGGAUUCUGCAUUUUUAAUAAGUUCUCAGGCGAUGCUGAUGCUGGUGGUGCUUGGACCUUGCUCUGGGUAGCAAGAGGAGAGGCCUUUCGUGGGAAAAAUGUGGAAGAAGAACAAUUGGAUAGAAGGUCAAGACAGAAAAGGGUCAGGAGAGAGCAGUAUGGUGUUCUCAAUUUUGAGGAUGUUUUUAGUCAGGGGAGAAGAAGAAAGGGGC
rnacentral:lncRNA from 1 species